UGGGGAAUAUUGGACAAUGGGCGCAAGCCUGAUCCAGCCAUGCCGCGUGAGUGAUGAAGGCCCUAGGGUUGUAAAGCUCUUUCAACGUGAAGAUAAUGACGGUAGCAGGUAAAGAAACCCCGGCUAACUCCGUGCCAGCAGCCGCGGUAAUACGGAGGGGGUUAGCGUUGUUCGGAAUUACUGGGCGUAAAGCGCACGUAGGCGGACCAGAAAGUUGGGGGUGAAAUCCCGGGGGCUCAACCCCGGAACUGCCUCCAAAACUAUUGGUCUAGAGUUCGAGAGAGGUGAGUGGAAUUCCAAGUGUAGAGGUGAAAUUCGUAGAUAUUUGGAGGAACACCAGUGGCGAAGGCGGCUCACUGGCUCGAUACUGACGCUGAGGUGCGAAAGUGUGGGGAGCAAACAGGAUUAGAUA
rnacentral:rRNA from 1 species